rnacentral:rRNA from 1 species
CAAGGGCUAAUCAUGCAUAACGAUGGUUUCUUUAUUGAGAUCAUUGCAUUUGUUAGUCAAUAAACCAACAUCUUUUUGAUGAAUCAUGACAAAUUGCGGAUCCUCAUGUUGCAAAAGACGGAGGACGACUGGGUCAGGUCUUUCCCCUAUCAGUUUUCGUAGGAAAUGUAUUGAAUUUUCUAGACUUUGACGGGUAACGGAAAAUGAGGGUUUGAUUCCGGAGAAGGAGCCUGAGAGACGGCUACUACAUCUAAGGAAGGCAGCAGGCGCGCAAAUUGUCCAUUUAUCAUUUGAUAGAGACAGUGACGAUCAAUAACAAUGUGCGACUCUUUAUGGGUUGUGCAAUUGGAAUGACUACAAUUUAAAGAGUUUAAGGAGGAUCAAUUGGAGGGCAAGUCUGGUGCCAGCAGCCGCGGUAAUUCCAGCUCCAAUAGGAUAUAUCAAAGUUGUUGCAGUUAAAAAGCUCGUAGUUGAAUUUCUGGUGGGGUUUUUCUCGUGUUUGAUUGAUAAUGAGGGCAACUUUGUUAUGAAUUGAACCACCCGCCAUAUUGUGGAUACAUUGCAAGUAUGAAUGGUUAACUCCAUUUAUGCUUGUACCACUCAGUCACUGAGAGCAAAUUGGAGUGCUCAAAGCAGGCUUGAUAGCUUUGAACAUUUUAGCUUGGAAUGACAAGAUAUGACUUUUGUUGUAUUUUGUUGGUUAUACAAGAAAAGUAAUGAUUAACAGGAACAGUUGCGGGGGUACUCGUAUUGAAAGGUCAGAGGUGAAAUUCUUGGAUUCUUUCAAGACGAACGACUGCGAAAGCAUUUACCAAGGAUGUUUUCAUUAAUCAAGAACGAAAGCUCGGGGAUCGAAGAUGAUUAGAUACCAUCGUAGUCCGACGCCAUAAACGAUGCCGACUCGGGAUUGUCUUGUUAAUUCUAAUUAAAAAACGAAUCAAGGCAGCACCGUAUGAGAAAUCAAAGUCUUUGGGUUCCGGGGGGAGUAUGGUCGCAAGGCUGAAACUUAAAGGAAUUGACGGAAGGGCACACCAGAGGUGGAGCCUGCGGUUUAAUUUGACCCAACACGGGGAAACUUACCAGGUCCAGACAUGAUGAGGAUUGACAGUUUGAAAGCACUUUCUUGAUUUCAUGGGUGGUGGUGCAUGGCCGUUCUUAGUUGGUGGAGUGAUUUGUCUGGUUGAUUCCGAUAACGAACGAGACGGGGAGAGUUAACUAGGUUUUAAAGUAACUCACGUUACUUUAACCUUCUUUGCUCGACAACUUGGUUUUACCAAGGGGAAGCGCCCCGCAAUAACAGGUCUGUGAUGCCCUUAGAUGUUCUGGGCUACACGCGCGCUACAAUGACGA